rnacentral:rRNA from 1 species
UGCCCUAGUAACGGCGAGUGAAGCGGCAACAGCUCAAAUUUGAAAUCUGGCGCAAGCCCGAGUUGUAAUUUGUAGAGGAUGCUUCUGGGUAGCGGCCGGUCUAAGUUCCUUGGAACAGGACGUCAUAGAGGGUGAGAAUCCCGUAUGUGACCGGCUUGCACCCUCCACGUAGCUCCUUCGACGAGUCGAGUUGUUUGGGAAUGCAGCUCUAAAUGGGAGGUAAAUUUCUUCUAAAGCUAAAUACCGGCCAGAGACCGAUAGCGCACAAGUAGAGUGAUCGAAAGAUGAAAAGCACUUUGGAAAGAGAGUUAAAAAGCACGUGAAAUUGUUGAAAGGGAAGCGCCCGCAACCAGACUUUGCGGCGGUGUUCGGCCGGUCUUCUGACCGGUUUACUCGCCGCCGUGAGGCCAUCAUCGUCUGGGACCGCUGGAUAAGACCUGAGGAAUGUAGCUCCCUUCGGGGUGUGUUAUAGCCUCUGGUGAUGCAGCGCGUCCCGGGCGAGGUCCGCGCUUCGGCAAGGAUGAUGGCGUAAUGGUUGUCGGCGGCCCGUCUUGAAACACGGACCAAGGAGUCUAACAUCUAUGCGAGUGUUCGGGUGUCAAACCCCUACGCGUAAUGAAAGUGAACGGAGGUGGGAACUUUUUGUGCACCAUCGACCGAUCCUGAUGUCCUCGGAUGGAUUUGAGUAAGAGCAUAGCUGUUGGGACCCGAAAGAUGGUGAACUAUGCCUGAAUAGGGUGAAGCCAGAGGAAACUCUGGUGGAGGCUCGCAGCGGUUCUGACGUGCAAAUCGAUCGUCAAAUUUGGGUAUAGGGGCGAAAG